UACGUAGGGGACGAGCGUUGUCCGGAAUUACUGGGCGUAAAGGGCGCGCAGGCUGUGCUGCAAGUCAGCUGUGAAAUGUCUGGGCUUAACCCGGGCAUGCGGUUGAGACUGCAGUGCUGGAGUGCUGUAGAGGCAAGUGGAAUUCCCAGUGUAGCGGUGAAAUGCGUAGAUAUUGGGAAGAACACCGGUGGCGAAGGCGACUUGCUGGGCAGCAACUGACGCUGAGGCGCGAAAGCCAGGGGAGCAAACGGGAUUAGAAACCCCAGUAGUCC
rnacentral:rRNA from 1 species